rnacentral:tRNA from 1 species
UAAAUAAUUUUAUAUGGCAGAUAAAUGCAAAGGUUUUAAGCGCCUUUUAUGAGCUAUGCUCUUUUUUUU